GCCGAGUAGUUCCAGUCUACGGCUCCCAUUCACUCGUAAUGAAUAGGUCGUCGGUUCGAUUCCGACAGGCGGCU
rnacentral:tRNA from 1 species